rnacentral:misc_RNA from 1 species
AACCAUAGAAACCUGCGGAGUACCUGCGGAAGGAUCAUUAACAAGCCGUGGGGGGAUCACCCUGAAAGGGGGCAGAUUCCUCACCUGGCCACCCUUGUUUACUUUAAUGCCUUUGUUGCUUUGGUGGGCCUGCCAUCAGGCUGCCGGUGAAACUGAGUUUCUGGGUUCGUGUCCACCAAGCGUUUAACUAAAUCUGUAAAGUCCUGUUGUCUGAGUGGCAAAAGCAAAACUUGAUAAAAC